GAUGAACGCUGGCGGCGUGCCUAAUACAUGCAAGUAGAACGCUGAAGCUUGGUGCUUGCACCGAGCGGAUGAGUUGCGAACGGGUGAGUAACGCGUAGGUAACCUGCCUGGUAGCGGGGGAUAACUAUUGGAAACGAUAGCUAAUACCGCAUAACAGUCGACAUUGCAUGAUGUUGAUUUGAAAGGGGCAAUUGCUCCACUACCAGAUGGACCUGCGUUGUAUUAGCUAGUUGGUGAGGUAACGGCUCACCAAGGCGACGAUACAUAGCCGACCUGAGAGGGUGAUCGGCCACACUGGGACUGAGACACGGCCCAGACUCCUACGGGAGGCAGCAGUAGGGAAUCUUCGGCAAUGGACGGAAGUCUGACCGAGCAACGCCGCGUGAGUGAAGAAGGUUUUCGGAUCGUAAAGCUCUGUUGUAAGAGAAGAACGAGUGUGAGAGUGGAAAGUUCACACUGUGACGGUAACUUACCAGAAAGGGACGGUUAACUACGUGCCAGCAGCCGCGGUAAUACGUAGGUCCCGAGCGUUAUCCGGAUUUAUUGGGCGUAAAGCGAGCGCAGGCGGUUAGAUAAGUCUGAAGUUAAAGGCUGUGGCUUAACCAUAGUACGCUUUGGAAACUGUUUAACUUGAGUGCAGAAGGGGAGAGUGGAAUUCCAUGUGUAGCGGUGAAAUGCGUAGAUAUAUGGAGGAACACCGGUGGCGAAAGCGGCUCUCUGGUCUGUAACUGACGCUGAGGCUCGAAAGCGUGGGGAGCAAACAGG
rnacentral:rRNA from 1 species